UUGAACAUAAUAAUAAACAUUGUUUUAUUAAGAAAUUAGAGAUUUAAAAAAAAAAAAAAAGUACUCUAUGUAUCUACUUUUAUAUAGUUUUAUGUCAGUUAUCUGACACGCACUAUAUGUUUUUUCCUUUGUAAAUGGUUAUUUACCAUAAUGGAAAUUGCAAAUUUGAGUCCAAAACAGACACUUAAUUGGAUCACUUUUAGAAAUUCAGUUAUGUUGUUAAAUAAUUUGCAAUUCAUUUGUCAGUUAUGCGAGUGACAGUCAGGCAAACUGUAAUCUAUAAUUAGUUGAUGUAAUUUACUUUUCUAAACCUUGGUAUUUUUAAAAAUAAGUUGCAUGUAAAUAUCACCAUCAUAUUGGAAAUCAAAUAUUUUUUUUAAAAGGAGACAUAAUUUGUUUAUUUGCUGUUUUAAAACAAUGAUAUGGGAGGAAUAUAAGCCUCACAGUUUUAUACAAUUGAGAGAAAAGAUAUUAAUUGCAAUAAAAGAUAAGGCAUAGAAACCUGUGUCUGUCUAUCAGUGUCUUGCAGAUUUUCUCCAGACUUGUUUGAUGCCGUGUGAUCCUGGAAACAUCUAACAAUAUUCAAGCGAUCCACCAAUUCUCUUUCUUCUUUAGAGGUGAAUGGGAGGAUCUCUGAGUAUGUGCAAUCAUUC